AUUGAACGCUGGCGGCGUGCUUAACACAUGCAAGUCGAUCGGUAACAGGUGUAGCAAUACAUGCUGACGAGAGGCGGACGGGUGAGUAAUGCUUGGGAAUCUGCCUAUUAGUGGGGGACAACCCGGGGAAACGUCGGGCUAAUACCGCAUACGCUCUACGGAGGAAAGCCGGGGACCGCAAGGCCUGGCGCUAAUAGAUGAGCCCAAGUCGGAUUAGCUAGUUGGAGGGUAACGGCCUACCAAGGCGACAAUCCGUAGCUGGUCUGAGAGGACGACCAGCCACACCGGAACUGAGACACGGUCCGGACUCCUACGGGAGGCAGCA
rnacentral:rRNA from 1 species